UCUUUUUCUUGUUUUAUUUUUAGGUCUGAUUCCAGAGGGUCGCCCUUCUGUCUGCAGAGCUCAGUGGUCAGCCGGUGCCGGGUUACUGAUCCUGCUCAGGUCUGGAGCCAAGUCGUCCACGGUCUGCAGACGGGUCUGUGCGGUUGAAGUUCACGAAGUCUGCUUUGAUUUGAUUUUUGCCACGCCUUCUCCUGUGCCUUUUGUGCAUUCACAUGGCCUCUUACUGAGCCAGGGAUAGGCGGGCAGUGGAUGCUUUCUGGUGUCCUGCUCUUGUGCACAGCCUCUGUGUGCCUGCACCCUGUCCCUGCUCACAGUCUUCCAGACUGCCAGGGAUAGGUCUGAGCUCACCAGGGUCCACUAUGCCUGGCUCAUGCCCUGGAUCUCACCCUUGUCACCUCUCCUCCUACUCAGCUUUCCUGUUGCUUGCCCCCACCAGAGCUGCAGUCUCAGUCUAGCUGACCCGUUGCUCUUGUGUGUUUAUGUGCAACCAAGAUUUCUGCUGUGCC
rnacentral:lncRNA from 1 species